rnacentral:rRNA from 1 species
GAUGAACGCUGGCGGCGUGCCUAAUACAUGCAAGUCGAGCGAACAGAUGAGGAGCUUGCUCCUCUGACGUUAGCGGCGGACGGGUGAGUAACACGUGGAUAACCUACCUAUAAGACUGGGAUAACUUCGGGAAACCGGAGCUAAUACCGGAUAAUAUAUUGAACCGCAUGGUUCAAUAGUGAAAGACGGUUUUGCUGUCACUUAUAGAUGGAUCCGCGCCGCAUUAGCUAGUUGGUAAGGUAACGGCUUACCAAGGCAACGAUGCGUAGCCGACCUGAGAGGGUGAUCGGCCACACUGGAACUGAGACACGGUCCAGACUCCUACGGGAGGCAGCAGUAGGGAAUCUUCCGCAAUGGGCGAAAGCCUGACGGAGCAACGCCGCGUGAGUGAUGAAGGUCAUCGGAUCGUAAAACUCUGUUAUUAGGGAAGAACAAAUGUGUAAGUAACUAUGCACGUCUUGACGGUACCUAAUCAGAAAGCCACGGCUAACUACGUG